ensembl:lncRNA
AUUGAAAGAUACGUUCGUUUUGUGUUUUAGACGGAGAUUUACAGCUAUUUCUUAAAUGCCUGGAUUUGGCUGGAAAAAUGCGUUUUCCGCUUCUUCACAGAAAGAAUUUAGAAACUCCUGCAAACACACAUCAGUUUAACUCUGUAAGUUGAAUGCACACGUUGAAGACCGUUCUUUUAGGUAGCUCCGUUUUGGUUUUAGAAGCAGAUAUUUCUCAAUACAGCGUGUAAUCCUAUUCACUCUGCUAUAUCCAAACGCAGCUCCUAGAAGAAACCUGCUUCUCACUCUCUGAUUCUGAACGCUGAUUCAACUCCCUUAGUUAAGCAAACACGCAGAAGAGCAGUUUGACAGAUACGUUCGUUUUGUGUUUUAGACGGAGAUUUACAGCUAUUUCUUAAAUGCCUGGAUUUGGCUGGAAAAAUUCGUUUUCCGCUUCUUCACAGAAAGGGUUUAGAAACUCCUGCAAACACACAUCAGUUUAACUCUGUAAGUUGAAUGCACACGUUGAAGACCGUUCUGUUAGGUAGCUCCGUUUUGGUUUUAGAAGCAGAUAUUUCUCAAAACAGCGUUUUCUUUCAUUCACUCAUGUAUAUUCAAACGCAGUUCCUAGAUGAAACGUGCUUCUCACUCUCUGAUUCUUAACGCGGAUUCAACUCCCUUAGUUAAGCAAACACCCAGCAGAGCAGUAUGAAAGAUACGUUCGUUUUGUGUUUUAGACGGAGAUUUACAGCUAUUUCUUAAAUGGCUAGGUUUGGCUGGAAAAAUGCGUUUUUCUCUUCUUCACAGAAAGGGUUUAGAAACUCCUGCAAACACACAUCAGUUUAACUCUGUAAGUUGAAUGCACACGUUGAAGACCGUUCUGUUAGGUAGCUCCGUUUUGGUUUUAGAAGCUGAUAUUUCUCAAUACAGCGUUUACUCUCUUUCACUCUGCUAUAUCCAAACGCAGUUUCUAGAAGAAACGUGCUUCUCACUCUCUGAUUCUGAACGCGGACUCAACUCCCUUAGUUAAGCAAAAACCCAGCAGAGCAGUUUGAAAGAUACGUUCGUUUUGUGUUUUAGACGGAGAUUUACAGCUAUUUCUUGAAUGCCUGGAUUUGGCUGGAAAAAUGCGUUUUCCACUUUUUCACAGAAAGGGUUUAGAAACUCCUGCAAACACACAUCAGUUUAACUCUGUUAGUUGAAUGCACACGUUAAAGACCGUUCUGUUAGGUAGCUCCGUUUUGGAUUUAGAAGCAGAUAUCUCUCAAUUCAGCGUUUACUCUCAUUCACUCUGCUAUCUCCAAACGCAGCUCCUAGAAUAAACGUGCUUCUCACUGUCUGAUUGUGAGUGCGGAUAUGACUUUCGUGGUUAAGCAAACACCCAGCAGAGCAAUUUGAAAGAGACGUUCGUUUUGUGUUUUAUACGGAGAUUUACAGCUAUUUUUUAAAUGCCUGGAUUUGGCUGGAAAUUUGCGUUUUCCACUUCUUCACAGAAAGCCGUUAGAAACUCCUGCAAACACACAUCAGUUUAACUCCGUAAGUUGAAUCCACACGUUGAAGACCGUUCCGUUAGGUAGCUCCGUUUUGGUUUUAGAAGCAGAUAUCUCUCAAUACAUCGUUUACUCCCAUUCACUCUGCUAUAUCCAAACGCAGCUCCUAGAACAAACGUGCUUCUCACUCUCUGAUUCUGAACGCGGAUUCAACACCCUUAGUUAAGCAAAGACGCAGCAGAGCAAUUUGAAAGAUAUGUUCGUUAUGUGUUUUAUACUGAGAUUUACAGCUAUUUCUUAAAUGCCUGGAUUUGGCUGGAAAAAUUCGUUUUCCGCUUCUUCACACAAAGGGUUUAUAAACUCCUGCAAACGCACAUCAGUUUAUCUCUGUAAGUUGAAUGCACACGUUGAAGACCGUUCUGUUAGGUAGCUUUUUUUUGGUUUUAGAGGCAGAUAUUUCUUAAUACAGCGUUUAGUCCCAUUCACUCUGCUAUAUCCAAACGCAGCUCCCAGAAGACACGUGCUUCUCACUCUCUGAUUCUGAAUGCAGAUUCAACUCACUUAGUUAAGCAAACACCCAGCAGAGCAGUUUGACAGAUACGUUCGUUUUGUGUUUUCGACGGAGAUUUACUGUUAUUUCUUUUUUUUUUUCUUUAUUUUUUAUUGGAUUAUAGGUGUUCGGGUACAUGAGCAGAGCAUGCAAGACAGUUGCGUAGGUACACACAUGGCAGUGUGCUUUGCUUUUCUUCUCCCCUUCACCCACAUUUGGCAUUUCUCCCCAGUCUAUCCCUCGCGACCUCCCACUCCCACUGGCCCUCCCAUUUUCCCCCCAAUAGACCCCAGUGAUUAGUACUCCCCUUUCUGUGUCCAUGUGUUCUCAUUUUUCAAUGACUGGAAAUGCCUGGAAAAAUGAGUUUUCCGCUUCUUCACAGAAAGGGUUUAGAAACUCCUGCAAACACACAUC